UACCAUUCAUAUAUUUACUUUUUUUUAUAAUUACGUGUGUGUGUGUUGUAGAGUAAGGAGGUGAUCCUCAGGUAUCUGAGUGUGGCCGGUCACACUUUAGGCACUAAUGAGCUGAACGUCAUCGGCUCCAACAUCUGCGCACUGAACAUCUCAACACUUCAGAGCAUUACAGCAAGAGACCUGAGCAAUGCAGAAGUUCUGGAUCUGUCCUCGUGUUCAUAUGAGCAGAAAUCAGUUCUGUACAGCACUGCCAACUCCUCGUUCAGAGCUCAACGCAGCACCGGCCCUAUUUACUUCCAUCUCAUCAGCCCAUACCUCGGUGGCGCUCCGGUUGAGGACGUGAGGGCUUUGGCCUCUUCUAACAUCACUAUGGACAUCAGCACCUUCAGAAGCCUCAGCAUACCUGUUGUGACGGUAACAAAUGCUCUCUCACACACACACACACACACACACACACACACGUUCCUCUCAGUGUGGAUGUGAGUGUGACUGUAUGCCGCGUGUGUUUCAGGGUCUGAGCGUGUCUGAUGUGCGUGCUCUCAUGGGUUCGGCUGUGGCCGAUCUGAAGGUGUUUGAGAAGGACUCUGUGGUUCAGGCCUGGAUCUCCUCACAGCCGCAGUCUCAGUUAGACACACUGAACGUGGGUCUGCAAGGAGGCCGAGCCGAUCCCAGCACAUCCGCACCUGUCACCGCCCAAAACAACAGCACCGCUAACGGCACCGGCACUGUCACCGGCACGCAGUCAACGGCUCCCGGCCAGUCAGCUGCAGCUACAGUCACUGUACAAGGAUCUGCAACAGCUCUUCAUCUCGGUCCAGGCCUGUGGCUCGUUGCGUCCUGCGUGUGGCUUCUGACCUUCACAUGACACGAUACCUGAGCCACCAUGAUCAAAAAUCAAUGAAAUCAUCACCAGAAAUCAGUCAGAUUGACACAAGUGCUCCAUUAGAUCAAUAUCACUAAUCAAUAAUGAAAUAUUAGAAAUGAAUGAGAGCAAUAUUAGAUUCAUUCAUAUCAGU
rnacentral:lncRNA from 1 species